CGGUGUUUAACUGGCGUGAUGUGGGACGUCCUACCGGUGGGCUUAGCCUCGCGAGGGGCGGCCCAACUAAUAUCCCGUCGCGGUGCUCUUUACUGAGUGUCGAGUCGGGCCGGUACGUUUACUUUGAACAAAUUAGAGUGCUUAAAGCAGGCUAUCCUCGCCUGAAUACUGCGUGCAUGGAAUAAUGGAAUAGGACCUCGGUUCUAUUUUGUUGGUUUUCGGAACCCCGAGGUAAUGAUUAAUAGGGACAGAUGGGGGCAUUCGUAUUGCGACGUUAGAGGUGAAAUUCUUGGAUCGUCGCAAGACGGACAGAAGCGAAAGCAUUUGCCAAAAAUGUUUUCAUUAAUCAAAGAACGAAUGUUAGAGGUUCGAAGGCGGUCAGAUACCGCCCUAGUUUCUAACCAUAAACGAUGCCGGCUAGCGAUCCGCCGAAAGUUCCUCCCAAUGACUCGGCGGGAAUUUUCCGGGGAAACCAAACGCUUUUGGGGUUCCGGGGGGAAAUAUGGUUGCAAAGCUGUAACUUAAAGGAAUUGACGGAAGGGCACCACCAGGAGUGGAGCCCGCGGCUUAAUUUGACUCAACACGGGAAACCUCACCAGGCCCAGACACCGGAAGGAUUGACAGAUUGAUAGCUCUUUCUUGAUUCGGUGGGUGGUGGUGCAUGGCCGUUCUUAGUUGGUGGAGCGAUUUGUCUGGUUAAUUCCGAUAACGAACGAGACUCUAGCCUGCUAAAUAGGCGUACCUUAUGGUAUCGCGAAGGCCCCCGGCUUCGGCCGGUGGGUUUUUACUACCAACGUACAAACAAAUCUUCUUAGAGGGACAGGCGG
rnacentral:rRNA from 1 species